rnacentral:rRNA from 1 species
CAGGUUUACCUGUGUGACUGCGUACCUUUUGUAUAAUGGGUCAGCGACUUAUAUUCUGUAGCAAGGUUAACCGUAUAGGGGAGCCGUAGGGAAACCGAGUCUUAACCGGGCGUUAAGUUGCAGGGUAUAGACCCGAAACCCGGUGAUCUAGCCAUGGGCAGGUUGAAGGUUGGGUAACACUAACUGGAGGACCGAACCGACUAAUGUUGAAAAAUUAGCGGAUGACCUGUGGCUGGGGGUGAAAGGCCAAUCAAACCGGGAGAUAGCUGGUUCUCCCCGAAAGCUAUUUAGGUAGCGCCUCGUGAAUUCAUCUCCGGGGGUAGAGCACUGUUUCGGCUAGGGGGCCAUCCCGGCUUACCAACCCGAUGCAAACUGCGAAUACCGGAGAAUGUUAUCACGGGAGACACACGGCGGGUGCUAACGUCCGUCGUGAAGAGGGAAACAACCCAGACCGCCAGCUAAGGUCCCAAAGUCAUGGUUAAGUGGGAAACGAUGUGGGAAGGCCCAGACAGCCAGGAUGUUGGCUUAGAAGCAGCCAUCAUUUAAAGAAAGCGUAAUAGCUCACUGGUCGAGUCGGCCUGCGCGGAAGAUGUAACGGGGCUAAACCAUGCACCGAAGCUGCGGCAGCGACACUAUGUGUUGUUGGGUAGGGGAGCGUUCUGUAAGCCUGUGAAGGUGUGUCGUGAGGCAUGCUGGAGGUAUCAGAAGUGCGAAUGCUGACAUAAGUAACGAUAAAGCGGGUGAAAAGCCCGCUCGCCGGAAGACCAAGGGUUCCUGUCCAACGUUAAUCGGGGCAGGGUGAGUCGACCCCUAAGGCGAGGCCGAAAGGCGUAGUCGAUGGGAAACGGGUUAAUAUUCCCGUACUUGGUGUUACUGCGAAGGGGGGACGGAGAAGGCUAUGUUGGCCGGGCGACGGUUGUCCCGGUUUAAGCGUGUAGGUGUGUGUUCCAGGUAAAUCCGGUUCACUUUAACACUGAGGCGUGAUGACGAGGCACUACGGUGCUGAAGCAACAAAUGCCCUGCUUCCAGGAAAAGCCUCUAAGCAUCAGGUAACAUCAAAUCGUACCCCAAACCGACACAGGUGGUCAGGUAGAGAAUACCAAGGCGCUUGAGAGAACUCGGGUGAAGGAACUAGGCAAAAUGGUGCCGUAACUUCGGGAGAAGGCACGCUGACAC